rnacentral:rRNA from 1 species
GACGAACGCUGGCGGCGCGCCUAACACAUGCAAGUCGAACGGAGCUGAGAGAAGCUUGCUUUUCUUAGCUUAGUGGCGAACGGGUGAGUAACGCGUGAGUAACCUGCCCUGGAGUGGGGGACAACAGUUGGAAACGACUGCUAAUACCGCAUAAGCCCACGAUCCGGCAUCGGAUUGAGGGAAAAGGAUUUAUUCGCUUCAGCAUGGACUCGCGUCCAAUUAGCUAGUUGGUGAGGUAACGGCCCACCAAGGCGACGAUUGGUAGCCGGACUGAGAGGUUGAACGGCCACAUUGGGACUGAGACACGGCCCAGACUCCUACGGGAAGCAGCAGUGGGGGAUAUUGCACAAUGGGGGAAACCCUGAUGCAGCGACGCCGCGUGGAGGAAGAAGGUUUUCGGAUUGUAAACUCCUGUCGUUAGGGACGAUAAUGACGGUACCUAACAAGAAAGCACCGGCUAACUACGUG